UAGGUUCUCAUUUCAGCAUGCUCAAACAUUCUAUCCGCGAAGAAGUAGGAUAAGGACAUUAAAGAAAUCAAACAUGAAAACAUUUCCUUGAAUCUGUAGCAUUCGCUCCUACAUCAUUGUGCAUUGUUUCGCUAGUUCAUAAUAUGAUGCAGUUCUUCGAAAUGAUAUAAGGGAAAUAUAGCAUGUACUAGAAAUAUUAUUCAUUACAACAGAGUCCGAAACUGUUCUGAGAUACAAGUUAAGAACAGGAUUCUGUGUCUGGUUUAGACACGGCCCAAAACCAGAUAUGUUUACCAUGCUCUAUGCGUUAUACCAGGGGUAGUCAACCUUUUUAUACUUACAGCCCACUUUGAAGGUAGGAAAAGUUCCUUACCGUCUACCAGUUCCGCAGUAAGUUAAUUUACCGUAAAUGCAAAGUAGAAAAAUGAAUAAAGUAUCAGGAAAAAGAGUAAUUGACCAAAUGUUUAAGCGAUGGGUGGCUGACUUCAGAAAUGGAUACUAAAGCAUCCCCAUUGAUUCACGAGAAAGACGUUCAUUGACAGCACCAGCACUUGCAAAUAUCUACACUGUGCUGCAUGUGAUCAUGGAUGGUUAUUAAAUUACUGUUAACAUAGUGUCUGAAUGUUUCCUGUCGACCGAAAGUGGGCAACUCCUAAUACAUUAAUAACUGUCCAUUAACAAAUUAUCAACUCAUUGGGUCCCCACGAACAAGAAGGACAGCAGGUGUGUGAAAUUAAUGAAGAUCAAGCUUCAAGGGUUGUAGAGCCGUUAGGUUAUUUUGAAGCAGGAGACAUGAAAAAUGAGCAGUGCCCUCGCCGGGACUCGAAAUGGGCCUCUCGAACACGCGCCAAGUGUGCUUCCGCUAUACCACUCUCCCUUUUAAAGAGCGACUGGGGAUUAGGAGACUUAAUCGUUAAAUCCUAGUUCUGACGAAUUAUUGUCUACUACCUUUUAGUUCAGGCGCCACUGCAGAGUCACUAGAUUAUUUCGAAACUGUUGAAACUGAAUACAUGAAAAACGAGCAAUACCCUCGCCGGGACUAGAACCUAGACCUCUCGAAUAUGCGCCAAGUGUUCUACCGUUACAUCACGAAAGCAUGCUAGAAGCAAGGAGAAAGUAGGGUGUUACUUCAAUGUGGAUGAAAAGGUCGAUGAGACGGUCGUUUAAAUGUGUGAGACUCAGAAAAAGUAUCUCCAUACGAUGACUGUAAACAAACUUCGGCACAGAAUACAUAAAUGCAUUAAUAUAAGGGGUGAUUUUGUAAAGAAAUCAUAAUCAGAAACUGCAGUCUAAUCAUCCCGUUCAUUAUGAGACUCAAAAUAUGUCACCCUUUCCUCAUAUAAAGUAAGCAGCAAGUUUAUAAGUUCAUGUUCGUAGAAACUAAAUUUGAUGCUACUAGAAAGGUGAAGUAAAUAUAAAAUUUCAGCUACGUUAUAUCUAAACAAUAUCACAAUUAACGUGAAGGAAGGGAAAAUAUAUAUACAUUAUAAAUUAACAUCAACGCAGUCAAGAAUUUGGUUCACACGUGACCAACCACAUUGCUCAUUAAAAGCCAAACAGAAGGUGGGGAAAAUUAUAUGCAAAACAUAUAUGAUAAUACAUGAGGGGGAUAAUUGAAUCGAGGGAAAACGUACGUGAUAAUCGAACUUCACCAAUGUUUCACAGGCACAGCCUUAUCACAGUAACUUUACAAUUUCGUCACUGUUUUGGUGCAGAUUUUCCCGGAGGAUGAAUCAUAUGAUCUCCAAGCUCUCUCUCCUUACCACCAAACCACUCGAAAUGACUUUUCUCUGACCAUUACUUUUUAAAUUCCUCUUUACAAUUUCCUUUACCAAACCUUUUUCGAAUUGAUAUAGCAAGUAUACAUAACUUAUUACUGUACCGAUCAGGGCGGCAUAUGGUUAGUGAAAAAAACUAGGAGCCUCGUCCGUGACUCGGUGCUUUUCCUCAGCGUCCGUUCAAUGCCUCUUUCUACUUCUGUCAUCUAAACCGCGUAUGAUUAACAGUUCAGAGAAAAAUCAACUGGAGCGGCCUCCAGUACGUAAAGCAAAAUCUGAUUUUUGGUUCCAGAACAAGUGCGACUACCUUACAUCUAUUUUUUUGUUAAACAAAACAAAAAUGCCUUCAAAGAAAAUUGAUAUAAUGCUUCGUUCAGGAGAUAUGAGAGAUAAAAUUCUGGUAGCUUCAUCUUUGGGCUUAAUGACUUAUCAAAUGAAGGCUAGUCGUGAUUUAAUAUCGGUGAUGUUCUCUCGAACCCAUUGAUUUUGUCUCAGGCAUUGCAACUUGGUCAUUGAAUUCAUUCGAGCACAUUGAUUAUUUCAACUCAAGAAAGGAACAUAUUUUGAUUUAGGAAAUGUUCCAGCAAUACCAAGAAUUUUAGAAUGUGGUAGACAAUCUGUAAUCCAUCGAUACAAUACAAAUUUUUAUGACGUUAAAAGUCGUCUAUUCAGCACUUGCUAUUAGAUAAUUAAAAUAACAUUCGGCGUAAUGCUGACCUACGAUUACAUCUCGGCGUCCUUACAUUUUCAGGGUCUGAAUUAUUAUCAUGAGACUUUGAAAUCAUAUGCCUACUAAAUAAUAAAAUGUACCGAGGUUAUUCUAAGGACAUUUGAACUUUCUAACCUCUUAGAUACAUACCAAAAUAUUGUUGAGUUUUUCCCUGGGACACAAUGUAUAUGCUGAAGCAAUUGUUUCAGAAACAUGAUGUUUAAUUAAUUUGAUUUUUUAAGGUUGCUAUAAUUUUAGACCAAAAAAUUAAUUUUAAUUUUUCUCGAAACUUUAUGUUCUAGAUAUUUUUAUGACCAGAAAUUUUCAUCAAUAUUAAAAAAUAUAUUUACAAGUGAUUUUUCCUCUUUCGUAACAGCUUAAAAGUGGUUAAGUAAAAUUUUGAACUUUUCUGUUUCUCCAUGUUUUUCUGAACAGAAGACAUUAACAAGUAUUUGGUCAGAAACUACUCAAACUUGAGAUCCAUUUGAAUGUUUUGAAGCGCAAAACAUCCAGAGUUAAUUACCGAUUUUAUUGUCUUAGCGGCACCUAAUAACUAACGAAGAAAUUUUGUAUUAAACUGCCAGAAAAUGCUUAAAUAUGUAAAAUGUACUUGUAUGCAUAGAUAUUUAAUCAUUUUGCGGUUUUGCAGCUGAGGAUGGUGGUUCGGCAAAACCAUCGAAACUAGUCCUGUGAAAAUUUUGUAAAUAUAACCCUGAUUUUUGUUGUUUGACUUCUGAAUUAGUAUUUAUUCGGCGUGUUAUUGUGUCUUAAUUGUAUGCAUAGAUUCGAAA